rnacentral:rRNA from 1 species
UAGAGUUUGAUCCUGGCUCAGAUUGAACGCUGGCGGCAUGCUUUACACAUGCAAGUCGAACGGUAACAGGUCUUCGGAUGCUGACGAGUGGCGAACGGGUGAGUAAUACAUCGGAACGUGCCUAGUAGUGGGGGAUAACUACUCGAAAGAGUAGCUAAUACCGCAUGAGAUCUACGGAUGAAAGCAGGGGACCUUUGGGCCUUGUGCUACUAGAGCGGCUGAUGGCAGAUUAGGUAGUUGGUGGGGUAAAGGCUUACCAAGCCUGCGAUCUGUAGCUGGUCUGAGAGGACGACCAGCCACACUGGGACUGAGACACGGCCCAGACUCCUACGGGAGGCAGCAGUGGGGAAUUUUGGACAAUGGGCGAAAGCCUGAUCCAGCAAUGCCGCGUGCAGGAUGAAGGCCCUCGGGUUGUAAACUGCUUUUGUACGGAACGAAAAGCCUGGGGCUAAUAUCCCCGGGUCAUGACGGUACCGUAAGAAUAAGCACCGGCUAACUACGUGCCAGCAGCCGCGGUAAUACGUAGGGUGCAAGCGUUAAUCGGAAUUACUGGGCGUAAAGCGUGCGCAGGCGGUUUUGUAAGACAGUGGUGAAAUCCCCGGGCUCAACC